rnacentral:rRNA from 1 species
UUCCGGUUGAUCCCGCCGGAGGCUACCGCUAUUGGAGUUCGAUUAAGCCAUGCGAGUCGCGAGUCUUAGGGACUCGGCGUACCGCUCAGUAACACGUGGGUAACCUGCCCUAUGCUGGGGGAUAACCUCGGGAAACUGAGAAUAAUACCCCAUAGUUCACCACGCCUGGAACGGUGGGUGGAUGAAAGCUCCGGCGGCAUAGGAUGGGCCUGCGGCGUAUCAGGUUGUAGGGGGUGUAAUGUACCCUCUAGCCAUCUACGCGUACGGGUGUUGGGAGACAUCGCCCGGAGAUGGAUUCUGAGACACGAAUCCAGACCCUACGGGGUGCAGCAGGCGCGAAAACUUGGCAAUGCGAGCAAUCGUGACCAGGGAACUCCAAGUGCAUCGGGUAAGACCGAUGCUUUUCUUGACUCUUCAAAGGUCUUGGAAUAAGGGGUGGGUAAGGACGGUGCCAGCCGCCGCGGUAAUACCGGCGCCUCAAGUGGUAGUCGCUUUUAUUGGGCCUAAAACGUCCGUAGCCGGUUUGGUACAUUCGUGGGUAAAUCAAGGCGCUCAACGUCUUGAAUUCUGCGAGCACGGCCAGACUUGGGACCGGGUGAGGUGUGGGGUACUCUCAGGGUAGGGGUAAAAUCCUGUCAUCCUGAGAGGACCACCUGUUGCGAAGGCGCCACACUAGAACGGAUCCGACGGUCAGGGACGAAGCCUAGGGGCACGAACCGGAUUAGAUACCCGGGUAGUCCUAGGUGUAAACGCUGUGGACUUGAUGUUGGGAGUGCUCCGAGCACCCUCAGUGUCGAAGCGAAGGUGAUAAGUCCACUGCCUGGGGAGUACGGUCGCAAGGCUGAAACUUAAAGGAAUUGGCGGGGGAGCACUGCAACCUGAGGAUUGUGCGGUUUAAUUGGAGUCAACGCCGGA